UACGAGAGGUCCAAACGUUAUUCGGAAUCACUGGGCUUACAGAGUUCGUAGGCGGUUCUACAAGUGGGGUGUGAAAGCCCUCGGCUCAACCGAGGAACUGCGCUCCAAACUGUAGAACUAGAGGAAGAUAGAGGUGAGCGGAACUGAUGGUGGAGCGGUGAAAUGCGUUGAUAUCAGCAGGAACACCGGAGGCGAAGGCGGCUCACUGGGUCUUUUCUGACGCUGAGGAACGAAAGCUAGGGGAGCAAACGGG
rnacentral:rRNA from 1 species